rnacentral:rRNA from 1 species
UACGUAGGGUGCAAGCGUUGUCCGGAAUUAUUGGGCGUAAAGGGCUCGUAGGCGGUUUGUCGCGUCGGGAGUGGAAUCCACUGGCUUAACUGGUGGCUUGCUUCGAUACGGGCAGACUGGAGGUAUGCAGGGGAGAACGGAAUUCCUGGUGUAGCGGUGAAAUGCGCAGAUAUCAGGAGGAACACCGGUGGCGAAGGCGGUUCUCUGGGCAUGUCCUGACG